rnacentral:rRNA from 1 species
CCUACGGGAGGCAGCAGUAAGGAAUAUUGGUCAAUGGGCGCAAGCCUGAACCAGCCAUGCCGCGUGCAGGAAGACGGCCCUAUGGGUUGUAAACUGCUUUUGAACAAGAGAAAACCUCGGUACGUGUACCGAGCUGAUAGUAUUGUUAGAAUAAGCAUCGGCUAACUUCGUGCCAGCAGCCGCGGUAAGACGAAGGAUGCAAGCGUUAUCCGGAUUCAUUGGGUUUAAAGGGUGCGUAGGCGGCCUGAUAAGUCAGUGGUGAAAUCUCUCAGCUUAACUGAGAAACUGCCAUUGAUACUGUCGGGCUUGAGUACAGAUGAUGUGGGCGGAAUAUGACAUGUAGUGGUGAAAUACUUAGAUAUGUCAUAGAACACCGAUUGCGAAGGCAGCUCACAAAACUGUAACUGACGCUGAGGCACGAAAGUGCGGGGAUCAAACAGGAUUAGAUACCCUGGUAGUCCGCACCGUAAACGAUGAUUACUCGUUGUUGGCAAUAUGACCGUCAGCGACCAAGCGAAAGCGAUAAGAAAUCCCACCUCGGAGGACGCCGGCGACGGACGAAACGUUAAAGUUAGUAAGUAGUUAGGCGNGAGACGNGCGACGGACGACACGAGGGAGGUUAGGGAG